CAGCAGUCAGGUGUUUUGUUCACAAAGAUUCGUUCGCUCUGACUACAGCUGUUGGAAACAUUGUGGGGUUGUUGUUUUUAUAUGGUGAUUUGAUCGGGGAUUCACGUGUGAAUGCAGGUAUUAUGUUCGGCCGAGAGUUUGUGCCCGACAAAGCUGUACCCCUACCUGUUGCUGAAGAAAGAUGGAGAAUCAUGUAUAACGAGCAGCUCCGUUCCCCCACUUACGCGGUGUCCCACUACAUCGCCUACCUACGUCGCUACGUCGCCGGACACGGGGCAGCUUCGCUCAGCGUCGUCGGAGCGAAAGGGACGGGCAUGCCUCUAGGACGGUCAGCCCCGACCGACGCCAGCCGAUGGCCCUGGGGAGCGACAGCCAGAGUCACUGGACUCCAUCAGUCCCAUCUCCUACUUCAUCAGGAAGCUG